AAAGUUCCAUUAUCAGUGGUACCCCCAACUAACAGGAGACCAUAUACUAAAUUUAUUCUGAAAUGUCUAUGAUUUGAUACUUAAGAUUAAUCAUACUGCUAACUUUUCUAUUAUUUCAUUUUCUAUGUUGUCCUUUUCUAACCCUGGUAGCCUUCAAACUUUUUGACUGGCCUGCUUUCCCCUUCUCCUCUCUGUAGUGUUGUCUCAGCUUGGCUCUGCCGAGAACAGACCUGAGCAAAGCCUUCCUCAGCAGAGAUUCCAGCUCUCCUCUGCCUUUCAACAGCAGCAGCAACAGAUACAACAGUUGCGAUUCUUGCAGCAUCAAAUGGCUAUGGCAGCAGCAGCAGCACAAACAGCUCAGCUACAUCAUCAUCGGCAUACAGGCAGCCAGUCAAAAAGUAAAAUGAAGAGAGGCACGCCAACCACUCCAAAAUUUUGAGUCUUGCAUUACUUUUUGUUCCUUUUUUAAAAACACAAGAGCACUGAUUCAAAAGAAUUGAGUUUCUACUUUUUGUUUUUUUUAAUGUGUCAGUAUUUUACAUUGCUAGAUGUACAAACUUUAUACAGAAGCACAACCUUAUCAUUUUUAAAUAAAAACAGGGAAAUGGUUUAACAAA
rnacentral:sRNA from 1 species